GGCCAGUUAGCUCAGACAGUUGAGCAUGGUGCUAACAAUCCCAAGGUCAUGGGUUCGAUUCCCAUUCAGUCCC
rnacentral:tRNA from 1 species